UCGAAUCGCAUGGCCUUGCGCCGGCGAUGGUUCAUUCAAAUUUCUUCCCUAUCAACUUUCGAUGUUUGGGUAGUGGCCAAACAUGGUUGCAACGGGUAACGGAGGGUUAGGGCUCGACCCCGGAGAAGGAGCCUGAGAAAUGGCUACUACAUCCAAGGAAGGCAGCAGGCGCGCAAAUUACCCAAUUCCGAUACGGAGAGGUAGUGACAAUAAAUACUGAUACAGGGCUCUUUUGGGUCUUGUAAUCGGAAUGAGUACAAUUUAAAUCUCUCAACAAGGAACAAUUGGAGGGCAAGUCUGGUGCCAGCAGCCGCGGUAAUUCCAGCUCCAAUAGCGUAUAUUAAAGUUGUUGUGGUUAAAAAGCUCGUAGUUGAACCUUGGGCCUGGCUGGCCGGUCCGCCUCACCGCGUGUACUGGUCCGGCCGGGCCUUUCCCUCUGUGGAACCCCAUGCCCUUCACUGGGUGUGGCGGGGAAACAGGACUUUUACUUUGAAAAAAUUAGAGUGCUCCAGGCAGGCCUAUGCUCGAAUACAUUAGCAUGGAAUAAUAGAAUAGGACGUGCGGUUCUAUUUUGUUGGUUUCUAGGACCGCCGUAAUGAUUAAUAGGGACAGUCGGGGGCAUCAGUAUUCAAUUGUCAGAGGUGAAAUUCUUAGAUUUAUUGAAGACUAACUACUGCGAAAGCAUUUGCCAAGGAUGUUUUCAUUAAUCAGGAACGAAAGUUAGGGGAUCGAAAACGAUCAGAUACCGUUGUAGUCUUAACCAUAAACUAUGCCGACUAGGGAUCGGACGGUGUUAUUUUUUGACCCGUUCGGCACCUUACGAGAAAUCAAAGUGCUUGGGCUCCAGGGGGAGUAUGGUCGCAAGGCUGAAACUUAAAGAAAUUGACGGAAGGGCACCACCAGGGGUGGAGCCUGCG
rnacentral:rRNA from 1 species